UGAAGUUAGCUUCCCAUUCGGCAGUUAAGGGGACACUUAAGGGAAACUUAAAGAUGAAGUUAGCUUCCGGUUAAGGGAACCAUAACAACAUUGCUGAACGACUGACUGGUCCUCCGUUUUUUGAACCUCUCUGUUGUGAGAGGGUGUUAGACAUUUUAGGUUAAGUAUUAAAGCUGUGUGAAACCCACUUUGGGAUUUGUGAAAGCUUAUUUGGAAAAAUGCAAUAACGGGAGAUUUCACUGAGUAUUUUUUACCUGUAGACCACCUUGGACCAAAACGUAGCAACACAUUUUUUUAAACUGAAAUGGGAGUCCGUUGAACACCCUGUUGUGUGCGCAAGCCCUCUGCCUGCGAAUCGGAAGCUAACUUCAGCGUUAAGUUUCCCCUUAACUGCUGAAUCGGAAGCUACGAAUCGGAAGCUGACUUCAGCGUCGUCAAAGAUUUGCCCACAGGCUGUAUUUACGCCCAGUUAUGUCGAGUUUGUGCCCAAUCUGAGAAACGGUUAUCGGUUUGGUUUGUUUAAAAAGUUGAUCGACCGGUGUAUCCUAGCAUCAGGAAGUACCUCCAGGAAGUAGUUUGCUGUCUUGUUUGAGUGACAGCUGUGCGGUGGUGACAGCCCACACGGGACGGCAGCCCGCUGAGCCGAGCCGAUACUCAAGAUGGCAGGUCUAUCUUUAUACUUUGAAGAUGGCCAUGAUGAUCUGGAUGAUUUUGGAUUUGAUGACUAUGGUUCAGAGUGCGACGGAAUCCGCAUCACAGCCUUCCUCGAUGCAGGACAAGACAACCUAACUCCUCUUGGGAGGCUAGAGAAGUAUGCCUUCAGUGAGAAUGUCUUCAACAGGUAAGUGAAGUCCCGUGGUCAGGCUGUCAACACUCUGAAAAACAGACAAAAGGCUAAAUAUCAGACAGACAAUGGGAUGGUCAUCAGUAUUUUUUCAGGGUGUGAGGAUGCAUUGUCAAAUUAUAUAGUGGUAUGUGAACACACAGGGAUGCAUAUUGUAGUGCAGAAAAUAUAGAUUUCUUUUUUUUUUACCUGCCAAGAAGUCGACUAGAACUCUUGAUUACUCUUCAUUUUCGUUCUUCACUGUUUGUAGCUUGCUUUAAGAGAUAAAAUGAUGCAUAACUUAAUGCUGCUGCAACUGAGAUUGACAGUAAAGGAAUCUACAGAGCUUAUAAUAUUGAUACAUUUUAUUUAAAUAGCGCUUUUCACAAUACUUAUUUACAGAGUUAAAACACACUAAAAAUAGGGGCACCUAUGGAGAAGGUGCUUGUCUGCUUAGAUUGUAGAAAUCACAAAUGUGCAGUUGCACAUUACAAAAAACAAUUAGCCAGAAUCAUGCUGUAAUCCAUACAUACGCUGUUUCCUUUCUGACCGUGUGCCACACUAAUAUUAGUACAUUUGAAAUUAAUCCUUUUUUCUAGCAUCUACACUAAGCCCACUUUAUUUUUUUUGUAUAUGCAAAAAAUGCUAACAGAAAAAUUAAUACAAUUUUCGAUUGGUAUUUUUGGUGUUGAAGUUUCAGAAAAAUGUAUUGAUGUAUAAACCACGAUUUCAAAUGUAUCUGCAGUUGUGUGGACAUGUCCUAAUGUGGACAAUUUGUGUUGAGAGCAUAACCAUAGUGGGGUUAGCAACAAGGAAACAUCAGACUGCAACCUAGUGGAACUAUCAAGGAAAUGUGGCCAAUUUCACUUCUUAGAAGUGAUGUGAAGAUGUAGCCAGAUAUUCAAAUGAACCUUUCAUCUAAUUUUAUAAACCUUAUCUACCAGGAAACUUAUGUUUUAAAACAGCGAUAAUAUAGAUUUUGCACCAAAUUGGGUGUAUUUUUGGCUCUGUUGUUGUAUUUUAUGCUGUGUAAACAAGAAUUUGUAUUAUUUGCACUGUUGAAAGAAAGUUAGAUUGAUUGUUAGAUCAUUCACUUAAUGUUCAGUGAUUGCAAGUAAAUCAUUGCUGAAAGGUUUUUGUGGCUCAAAUAAGUAAUAGCAUAAUGUUGCACAAUAAUAUCUUGUUAAUUGAUGUUCUUUACUUCAUUGUAUCAUAAACCCCGCAUUGGAAAAUUUAAAUGUGAUAGACAUAUCAUCCACCUCAAGUAAUCUCCAGAUGUUUGUUUGUCAUCUAGACGACUGUCUGCAUUCCUGUGUAUUUACUAAUUGUAUACCUGCCUUAACUCUGUAGUGCAGGAGUGCCAAAGACUUAAAGUAAAGCCAUGGGUGAAUGGUGUCUGUCUGAAUGGAUAUGGCAAUAAGUUGAUAAUAGUAGCCCAAUGUCAUGAAUGAUGACUCAUUAUGAUUCAUACAAACCCUAAUUACAAUGAAGUUGGGACGUUGUGUAAAAUGUAAUUACAAACAGAAAACAAU